rnacentral:sRNA from 1 species
AUUUGGACUCUAGGCUCUACGGGUGACAGAUCUUGUUUCUGAAGAUGGUUUAAGUUAUAGCUUCUUAAAUGAAAGAAUAAAAUACUGCAAAAUGUUUUUAUAUUUGGCCCUUCCACCCAUUUUUAAUUGUGAGAGAUUUGUCAUCAAUCAUCACUGGUUCCUCCUUAAAAAUGAAAAAGUAACUUCUGUGUAACCGAAUGUUGACUUAAAUACGGAGAGAGUCUCAAGACAGGUCUGGAACCGGCCUGGACAGAGGCACCAAACUCUUCCUGGGGUGACCGUUUUCCGUUGUUAGGUCAAAUAACUUUCUCUGGGACCCUACAGCAGCUCCCCACGCUAGCACCUGUCCAGCCAAAACUCCCUUUGGGCAAAGAAACUAAGCGUUGGCAGCCUCUGCAGGCAGACCGAACUGGCACAUGAGGGGGCCCAGCUGCCCCGAGGCCAAGGCUGCGCUGAACAUGCCCAGGGCCUGCAAGAAGAGCCAGGCGAGGGCUGAGCUCCAACCCGGGCUGCGCCCCAGAGCCACACUGCUCAGCUGCCAGCUCUGCGGGUCAGGCACAUGAAGCACUGGCCACGGUGAAGGUGGGGCAGGGCCUCCUCCUCCCUCCUGCCCACUCCCUGAGCACACAGUGGAGGACACCCUGGGCCCGGCCUCUACCUGCUGGAACUGGGGCGAGGUCAGGGUAUUCUGGAUCUCAUCCGCGGUCUGCGGCAGCGACUCCCCAGAUGGCAAGUAGGGAAGCAGGCGCUCCUGGACAUCCGCGUUGGCGAGGAUGGGAGCCAUUAUCUCCGGCGUCAGCACACUGGCCAGGUCCACUGGGGCACAAGAACACGGCCAUCAGCUCCAUGACAGCCUAAGUGCCCACAUGGAAGGCAUGCAAG